CUGCUGCCUUCCGUAGGAGUUUGGGCCGUGUCUCAGUCCCAAUGUGGCCGUUCACCCUCUCAGGCCGGCUACUGAUCGUCGCCUUGGUGGGCUGUUACCCCGCCAACAAGCUAAUCAGACGCGGAUCCAUCGUAUACCACCGGAGUUUUUCACACCGUCUCAUGCGAGACUGUGCGCCUAUGCGGUAUUAGCACCUAUUUCUAAGUGUUAUCCCCCAGUAUACGGCAGGUUAUCCACGCGUUACUCACCCGUCCG
rnacentral:rRNA from 1 species